rnacentral:lncRNA from 1 species
GCAGCAUUAUUGCUAGACUUUGUGGGGUCUCUGUACUCCACCCUCCCAACCUGAAUCUUAUUGGUGCUUAGCUCUGAUGAGCUCUGCAGGUUAUCCUCACUGGUCCAAGGCAGCACUGCUCAUCAGCUCUGCAGGGGCCUUUAGGUGAGGAAGACAUAUCCCUGUUGGGCCCCAGAGGACCCAUUUGAGUUUCAGAUUAUUACCUCAUAGUCCUUGACUGCCAUAAUUUUCUUUGGGAUCCAUGUAGGCUCUGCUAGCUCAUAUGGCACCUUAGAGCAUAUUACAAGCAGGUACCCCUCAGGUGAACAAAUUGUGAAAGGCAGCUCCUCUGGGAGCCCAGUUAAAACAGCCUCCUCUCUGCCUGCUGCCUCAGCCUCAGGUAGGAGAUCCUGAGUUGCCUCCUCUGCAGGUGUCUUCCUUCAGAGUACAACCCGCCCCACCAGAAGCUGUGGCCUGAUAGUAGUUCUGAGCCCUGGAAAUUCUACAAUUCUUCUGGCUACUUCUCUUUAUCCUGUGCAAUUUGUCCAAAG